UACAGAGGGGGCAAGCGUUGUUCGGAAUUACUGGGCGUAAAGGGCGCGUAGGCGGCCUUCUAAGUCGAACGUGAAAUCCCCGGGCUCAACCCGGGAACUGCGUCCGAUACUGGAAGGCUGGAGUGCGGCAGAGGAGACUGGAAUUCCUGGUGUAGCAGUGAAAUGCGUAGAUAUCAGGAGGAACACCGAUGGCGAAGGCAGGUCUCUGGGCUGACACUGACGCUCAUGCACGAAAGCGUGGGGAGCAAACAGG
rnacentral:rRNA from 1 species